CGCCCAGGCACGAAUGACCAAAAAAGAAGUUUUUCCCAAUAGGUAGUGGCGGUGUGGUCACCUCCACCCUUGCAUGACGGGUCAGGCAGGAACAGGGUGGCUGCUCCCCUGCCAUCCCGCCCCGCCCCACCACCACCACCACCGCCACCAGUCAGUCUUCAUAUGGAACACCUCCCAAGCCCUUCAGUUUUCAAGGUGGUGAGUGGGGUGGCGGCGGCCGGGCGCCAUCAGCCAUGCAGGACCAGGGUGGGAGUGACUGCUCGCCCGGGAGGGAGCAAAGAGGGAGGGAAGGGCGACGACUGGAGGGAGAGGAACGAGCUGUGUUCAAGAUCCCGCAGCCCUCUGCUGCACCUCACGCCAACCCUGCCCAGACUGUCCCAUCGCCUUGGCCUUCACCCGCCGUGCCACGCCCACAGAGACACAGCCACGCACUCACCCAAGAAACGUAAACCAGACGUUCCAUAUCACUCAAACGUAGAAUCGGCAAGACGCUGAAGAAAUGCGCUAAACGCUCCUUGGCCUUCCUGGAGGAGGACGAAGAGGAACAGAAGGAGGACGACGAGCACCAUCGCAGAGUUUUCAGACAAGAGGCAUUAAUCGUGGCCAUGGCGGGCUGUGAAACAUCAUUUGGUGCCGCUGACGGUGAAGCAAUCGUGGCCGCGUCGGGUUUGGGCAACAGUGGGAGGGAUGCGCGGCGAACCCACUGCACAGAGCACCCGUGCCGUGCCCCCGCAGAGCAGAGGUUCCGAGUCUGUCUUACAUGGCGCCCUCCUUUGUUCUUCUCCUCUUUUGGGAUUAUCCUCUUGAUGAAACAGAUGUAAUAUUCCAUUAGAAACAAAUAUCACAUCAUCACUGUUGUAUAUUUUCAAUCAGUGUAAAGGUCGUACGAUUAUAUAAUUUUUAUUCAAUUAUUUUUUUCCCAAUAAAUCAUUAAUGAGAAUAAUCUUGUAUAUGAAAGUAGGAUUUGGAAGUGUGCAGAGAAAUAUAGAAUUAUAUAUAAAUUUUCGUCCAGACUUUAGUGGGGCCACUUUUUCACUUUGUCCUGCCCUGCCUGUCUCGACCCUUGCCCCGGCCAGUGGGUCCUCGGGUCCUCCCCUGCGCCAGAACGUUACUCCCUGACUUAUAACUUUCCAUAAAACA